AGGUUCCCAGAACAAGGCUACAACAUGUCUGGCUCCAUGAGUUGAGUGAAACUGAAAUUUCCCAAAAGCCUGGAGACAUUUGGAAGGAGGAGCUCGCCUAUGCUGAACAGAUCCUUUCUGUUACCACAUCAGCCGUGAUGAAACCAAGGCAGAUCCAUGUUCAGAAAGGGAUUUACAGGUGUGCCACUACUGCCAAUCAAACCCUGGUGCUCUGGGAUUCAAACAGGACUAAGGAGUCGCCCUGCUGAGUGCCACAGCAUCUGCAGCUGCCUCAGGGUACUUUGGUGGGAGCCCUUCAAACCUUUAUGUUCAGAACAGCACCUAUGUCAUAAGGACUUCAUCAAGUCCCAGUGAAAUUGCUCCAUUCUGUACUACAGCCUUGAAGGUCGUGCUGCUGCUGUUGUGCAUCUGAGUCCCAGUGCUAGAAAUUAAAAGGUUCAGAGAAUCGUGACACCAAGUAAAGGCCCAAAGCUGCACUCCUGACAGCUUCUCUUCACAGCACUGUUCUUGCUCUGAGCAUGUUCCAGUGUCUCUGCACUCCCAGCCCACCUGCAGCAGCUGGGGCCAGCCAAAGCAGGCUCUCGUAGCCUGGUGUUCCUGCUGGGAGCUUCUCACAGCGCGAGCAACCUCCUCUCCAGCGGAUCACAGGUGUUCUCCACAUGAUGGGAGCAGGUGUGCAGGGCCAGGCAGCAAAGCCUUUUGGGGACGUGCUCAGAGUCACACCGAGGAUCUGCUGAGCAAAGAGGAGCACCAACAGGUUCAGCAUUGCCUGUGGUACCCUUGUUCCCUGCAUCCCUUCCCAGCAAAGACAUGGCAGGGCAGAGCCCUGGUCCCAGGUGUUGGUAAGUGCAGCUGAGGUCAUGUCCACUCCGAGGACAAGGAGCCAAGU